ensembl:lncRNA
UUGUACUGCAGAACAUCACGGGGGUCCUAUGUGUGGAGAAGCUUGGUGAAUCGGUGACAUUGUUGGACAGUUAGAGACUGAGAUAAUAUCCCCAAAAAACUAUUCAAUUAAAAUUAGUUUCUUCAAAUUACAGGAAACAAAUGAGGUAAAUUAUAUAUAUUGCUUUCUUGGUUUUAGAACUUCAUUUUUGUGUUGAGUUUAUUUAUUUCAAUUUGCUUUGCUAACUUUAGUAGCAAGAAGCUAGAUAGCUACCAGAGUGCAGUUUUCUCUGUCAGAAUGCCUUCCUACGAAAAUGUAGCGCUUUUUUAAGAACCCCUUUCGUUGCCCAGAUCAGAUUCAAGCUUCUGGGAAAAAGCUGCAUCGAUCAUGUAAUGGACGAAGGUCUGCAUAUUCAAACAGCGCAACACAAUGAGAAGCUAAGUCCCCUCCUGUUCCCUGAUUAAGCCAUGAUGGCCUCUCCACUCCACUACCAGUGUCAACUCUCUCCUGACAUGAACUGAAGCCAUGUCUCAUGUGCCCUCUCAUCCACUGGUGCAUUGAAUGUUUCAUCUCCAUGCACUUCAAGUCCUGCCAGUGGAAGAGUUGAGCUCUUCUCCAACACCAUCCAUGAUGAGCCUAUCCUGCACUGAAGCCUCUGAACACCUCAACCCCUGUCCUGCACUGAAGUCAAGCCUCCGAACACACCCCUACUCAUGCUCUCAUUCAAAUCACUGCUGUGAUAUCUUCCUAACACUAAGUAGCCAUCUCAUUCUCAUUGCCCAUAAUAUUUUACUAUACAUGUCUUUAUUAAAUGUUUUAGGUUGAAAUAAUUUCUUAGAUUUUUUUAAACACGCAUUAUCGCUUCCGUGUGGUCUGCAUCUAUACCGUGGGUCUCCCAUUCACCUAAAAUGUUUUAAUCACUAGCCUCCACUGAUGCUUAUGGUGUUCUAGCUAGUCACUUUUCACACUGUUAAUGUUUGUUUCUUCCAUUGCUAUGGUCACCGGCAGCUGUCCAAGACAAUAAUCACAUCAUGACACAUACAAUCCCCUCUGAUCCUGGAAACUCAACCAGACCAGCUCACCAAUAAGACAGAGAUAAUUAACAUUAUAUGAUUUGAUUGGCUAAUGGAAAAGGACCAGAUGGAAUGGAAUGCCUGGAACAGAGGCGAUGCCACGUCAGAAAAUUGCUACUGCUAGAAUCCAUAAUGCCGAUUUAGGGAGUGUGUGUGUGUGUGUGUAUGAGAGAGUGCAAGUGAGAGUGUUUGUAAGCAAGUGACAAAAGAGAGAGAGAGAGUGGGAGAGAGUAGAAUGGAUGUUAGAGAGAGAUAGGUCUUCUGGCCUCCUCAACCUGUACAGACUGCUUUCUCCCAUCUUAAACACUCUGUAUAUAGAGCAGGCCAUACAGAGGACAUUCAAUAAUAUUGCAUGUGACACAAAUGGCUAAAACGCUCAGAUACAGUGCCUUCGGAAAGUAUUCAGACCCCUUGACUUUUUCCACUUUUUUUUUUACAGCCUUAUUCUAAAAUUGAUUAAAUAAAUAAAAAUCCGCAAUCUACACACAAUACCCCAUAAUGACAAAGCGAAAACAGGUUUUCAGAAAUGUUUGCAAAUGUAUUAAAAAUGCAAAACAGAAAUACCUUAUUUACAUAAGUACCCUUUGAUAUGAGACUUGAAAUUGAGCACAGGUGCAUCCUGUUUCCAUUGAUCAUCCUUGAGAUGUUUCUACAACUUGAUUAACAACUUCAGUCCACCUGUGGUAAAUUCAAUUGAUUGGACAUGAUUUGGAAAGGCACACACGUCUAUAUAAAGGUCCCACAGUUUACAGUGCAUGUCUGAGCAGAAACCAAGCCAUGAGGUCAAAGGAAUUGUCCUUAGAGCUAUGAGACAGGAUUAUAUCGAGGCACAGAUCUGGGGAAGGGUACCAACAAAGUUCUGACAGAGCUCAAUAGUUAUUUUGUGGAGAUGGGAGAACCUUCCAGAAGGACAACCAUCUCUGCAGCACUUCACCAAUCAGGCCUUUAUGGUAGAGUGGCUAGACGGAAGCCAAAUCCUCAGUAAAAGGCACAUGACAGCCCACUUGGAGUUUGCCAAAAGGUACCUAAACACUCUCAGG